AAAAUGUCAGUAGAUGGCCAGUAGUAGUACAAUAGAUAUCAGUAGUGUUCUGAUUGGUCCAACUAUCUCAGUAGUAAAUCAUUAGAAUUUUAGUUCUGUUCUGACAGCAAGAACAGUAGAUAGCGGUGUAAAUUUAGUACUUGGCAGUAGCGGCCCAGUAGGACAUUAGAAGUUGAAUUACUGAAAAGCUAAUAAAAGUUCUACUGUAAGUAGUCUACUAGUACUUAACAGUAGAUUUUCUGUACUGAUCAGAUGCUUUGCCAAGGAUAUACACCAGGAAGAUAAAGCCAUUCCUCCUUGUUAGCACCAGACUACAUCGCUGCCUUCAACUGCAUGUUAUCUAAUAUUUCCACCAUUACUGUAACUUCCCUCUGCCCUCUGAACAUGACUACCCCCCACCCCCCAACAAAAACAUGACCAAAAAACAUAGUGAGGUUGCAUGUCUGGACGUGUUCCAUGCCAGUUGUCCUCAGCUGGCUGUCACCUCGUCAGGGAAUUUCCCAUGACUCAUGAUCAUGUAUCAUGAAUCAUGGGAAAUCCCCUGACGAGGUGACAGUCAGACACGACACCACUGUCGCUGUAGAUGUAGAGAAGCGUGUUUUGUGUUGCUUUUCCAAAGUCGCUGGCCAAUGGGCUGCCUAGUAUUCAUAUUGCGUAAUGCAGAUGAAACGUAAACCAAGCUGAUUACGAACACAGCAGUCAUUUUGCUGCCUGGCACAGGGGAGACAACACAGGUCUGGGACCGGUCUCUGAUAACAACUGCUCCCACGAAGUCAACGCACUCCCCUGCACUUCGGUCGGGCAAAUGAGAUCCACACGAAUUCAAGGGACGUCGCUGAUGGCUUUCACUGGAAGACGAGCUGUAUCACUGAAGGGAAGGACAUCUGUGUGCAAAUUGCUACAAGGGGAUCGAGGCUGGGAGCCAUGGAAAACCCGAAACAACGUCGGCCAAAGGAGCAAGGCCAUGCAAGACCGGCAGCAGAGCCGUGGGCGGCCAACCGAUUGCGCUGCUAUUGAGGGAAAAACUGAGUGCAGUUAGAGAAUUCAUGGACUGACAUACACGUGCUGUCUGCGUUAUUUGACUUAUACGAAUACGUGUUGUCUAUUCUAUUAGGUCAUAUUUAGUAAUGUAAAAAUAAUUCAAUUCACCUAGACAAUGAUGGAUAUACGAAUGGUGGACAUCCUAACCAAACGUAUAUAUGAAUUUUUUUGACACGACAAAAGUACAGCGACUUUCGUGAGGAUUAUAACAACUAUUUACAGUACAGCUAAGCAGACGUAUAUCAUAUUUACAGAUAUGAAUAAGUCAACAUGUUGUUUCUAGCAUGUCAUUUACAUAAUUCGAACAUUGCCUGCAAAUGUCUUGAGUUACAAACACACGUGCUCAUCAGAGGGGCAGAGGACAGAGCGAGAUGGACACGGAUCACUGCUACUGGAUGUCGGGGAGCCCCUACGACCACUGAGGUUAUGGGCCGUGAGUGAGUGAGAGUGACACACUUUUACCAAUCUAACGUUUGCGGGAGUUUCUCAACGAUAAAAAUACACGUCCGUGCAGCCGUUUACUUUCGGGUCGGAACCUGGAGUAAUGCAUCAAUGGGAUCGGACCUUACAAUUAUUGUGUAUGCAAGCUGUAGCAGCCUUUCACUCCGUCACAUACAAGAAGAUACAACGCAACGUUUGCUAGAUGUAAUUAGUCUGUAUUAUUGUACUAUGAUUGUUAUUCUUAAACGGCUAUUCGUUUGAUGACGUGAACUGCAACAGACCGAGAUGUACUAGUAACCAAUGUUAAGUGAUAUGAGCGAUGUUGUGUAGCUGUCUGUCAGGUAAGACAGUAUACAAAGACGAGAGAUUUCUUCGGCAGUUCAGGAGAGCAGACAUUUGUCUCAGUACAUACUGAGACAGAAUGUGAAGACAAGAGAUUUCUAAGGUAAGAGAGCUCAGUUCAGGAGAGACUAUAGAGAACUUCAGUUAAGGCCAAAAUGAGAUAGCAUUAUUUUGAAGUCUGUUAUAUUGUUAAAAGUCUUCCGUACCUAGCGUGCGGAAAUUCUUGUCUCUGCGUCAUUUCUUUAUCCUUCAUGUGCUGAUCUUCGAAUUUCAGUCGGCAACUAAAGGAACCUGUAUAUAUUUGUUACAUGUCUAAGCCUCUAUCGUUAGGAUCUUGUCGUAACUUUCCUAACUUUACAACACGCUAACCCUUCAUGCUUGUGGCUCUUGCCGUCCUGCCGUUUCCGACAAGAGUACAAGAUCACAUUUCCCAACUAUCCCAUCCAAUCCCCUCAUACAAUACACUAACCCUUCAUGCUUGUGGCUCUUGCCGUCCUGCCGUUUCCGACAAGAGUACAAGAUCACAUUCCUAACCAUUCCAUCGCAUUCCUUCAUACAACACACUAACCCGUCAUGCUUGUGGCUCUUGCCGUCCUGCCGUUUCCGACAAGAGUACA